UGAACGUGAUUUUUAUUCUCUCUCCAGUUAUUUUUUUUUCUGUCAUUGAUAAGGGUCCUUAAGGAGAAAAAUUCAUUAACAAAAAGCAAGAAAGCGUGUGAAAAAGAAGAAAAUCUAAAUGUCACCGCGCAAUUGAAAUACGAGCUAAAAUGGAAAUACUUUCUCCUACUUAAAACCCAGACUGAAUCACCUUCAAAGUGACCUUUCACAAUCUUUCCAAUUUGCCUCUGUUUAAACUGUCUGGGCCUAAAAGCAAGCAUUAUUCAUUUUCUUUUUCCCAAAGUGGACUCGUGUGUAAAGUAGGAAAAUUAAAAGAAACUGCUAAAAAUCCCUUCCAACCACAGGCUGACCCCACUCACCAGCUCACAGCGAAGGCUCCUGUUGAUCUAUCCCCUAAUCUCAUUUCAUUUGGAUAUUUACAUUGUACCUACUGCUAAACACUCUGCAGGAGGCUCAGGAAACCUCAAUCUGUCCAUUCUUAUCUCCUAUCUGUGUCUCUGUAUCAUUAGUCCUUCCAAACAUCGUGCCGUGUGUAUUCAGUCUAUUUGAAAGCUCCAAAUGGUACAUCAGACCUGAUCUGUUUUUGGUGAAGAUUUAGGGAGCUAUGAGAAUUUGGAUUAUAACAUGCAUUUUGCUUCAUUUAUUUUUAUCACACUUAAAGGCCAAGGGUGAUGAUUAACUUACAGACAUCGAAUUCAUUUCUCUACUGAAACCUUAAAGUAGUAUUUGGUCAUUCAUUGUAUGUGUCUUAUAUACCCACCCACACACAGACACAAAGGAAAUCUAUCAAAUUAAUCCUGAUUGUAUUUGAAGUGGUUAUUCAAUUCAUUUAUGGCAGAGCAAUAUCAGUCCUAAUGACUCGU
rnacentral:lncRNA from 1 species